GAAUUCGAUUAACGCGAAGAACCUUACCUGGGCUUGAACUACUGGUAGUAAGCUUUUGGAAACAUUAGCUGAUCCGCAAGGAAGCCAGCAGAGGUGCUGCAUGGUUGUCGUCAGCUCGUGUCGUGAGAUGUUGGGUUAAGUCCCGCAACGAGCGCAACCCCUAUUCGAUGUUGCUAAUCCCGCAAGGGAUGCACUCUUCGAAAACUGCCUUCGAUAAGAAGGAGGAAGGUGGGGACGACGUCAAAUCCUCAUGGCCCUUAUGUCCAGGGCUACACACGUGCUACAAUGGCCGGUACAACGGGAAGCAAUACCGCAAGGUGGAGCCAAACCCUUAAAGCCGGCCCCAGUUCAGAUCGUGGGCUGAAACUCGCCCACGUGAAGGCGGAAUCGCUAGUAAUCGCGAAUCAGCAGGUCGCGGUGAAUACGUUCCCGGGCCUUGUCACACCGAAUCACUA
rnacentral:rRNA from 1 species